UAAAAGGAACAGAAACGUUGUGAUUUCACUCUGUUCCUGACACAGAAUGGAUCUGCGAAUCUCUGUCGUUCUUCUUUUCGUUUUUCUCACUGGAGGAUAUUCGCUCAGGUGUUUCUCGUGCAUACCUGAUUGGUCGGGUUAUUGUGAAGCAACAGAGCAAAUAUGUCCAGCUGGAUCUUCUUCCUGUAAAAAAAUAGAUCACAUAGAACAUAGUUUUGCAAACCUUUUUGGAGCUAACCCUGUGAAGUCUGUAUCUAAACAUUGUGCAUAUUGGUGUACACCUGGGACUGAACAUUAUUUUGGAGGGGCAGAUGACACCCACUGCUGUAACACUGACCUUUGCAAUGCAGCAGAUGGAGUGUAUAAGGGAAGCUUCCUCCUGCUCUUCUCUCCUCUGCUCUCCUAUUUCCUGUUUCAGUGAGUCCAGAUGCACUUCAGAUUCUACAGACCAUCACAAAAACUCAAUAUGAUACACAGUCUGAUGCAUUGCUAUACUUUACUGAAUAAAGCUUGUUUGUUGCUCUGAUGUUCUUUGAUAGCAUGAUUUGAGCAACUCAAAAAUAUGCAUUUUAAUAUUAAACAAAUAUACUGUAUCAUCGUGAGCAGGUUCUCUUUAUAGCCAAAUAAUUAUUGAUAAAAGAAUCAAAACGCAAACAUUUCCUUCAUUAACAAGAAAAUUACAUACUUUUAGACUGUACAAGAGAAAAUAUGCUUUUUCAUUUGGAAACCCACUUAUCUGUAAAUCAUGAAAAUGUGCCCCAGAUAGCAACUUUGUGUCGGCCUAGAUCCAGCCCACAUCUGGCACAUGUGGAAUGAUGAUCUGAGCCACAUGUGGCGUGAAUGAUGGCACUUGGGUGGACCGCUCCUAAUUGCCAGAUCUGGGCCACAAGCAGGCCAUAGAAAUGCCACAUGUCAGCCAACAACAAAGAAAUAAACUAGAACUGGACCUUAUCUGAUCCACAAAACCUUAUAUAUUAUUUAUAGAGUCAUCUCAGCAUUAACAAGCAGAAUCAUUGAAGGAAAGAAGUAAACACAUUGCAUGCGCCAGAUGUGGGCUGGAUCUGGGCUUUUGGUUGUUCAACUAGUAGGUUAAUCAAUCAAAGGUUUGAAUUACUUUGAAACAAAACCACUAAAAUCCACAAGUGCUCACAUUUACCUUUAAGACAUUCAGCCUAUAAAAAGACAUUUGUCCAGAGACAUUUGUCAGUACAUUUAAAAUGUAUUUGUCCAGUUUCUUGUUAGUUAAUAGUGCUUCACUAGAGUAUAAAUAAUUUUUUCCUGUGUAGUUAUUCAUUAAUGACGGAACAUUUUCUCUAAGAAACAUUUUUCACACUUUUUAUGAGACAUUACCUGUACGAAUAUUACUACAGAUCUCUGAUCAGCUUCAGACUUCAUCUCUUACCAUACUAAGAACAGAGACUUUCAGGUAAGAUGUGAUUUUAAACCAGUAUGAACAGGAAGUAAGUAAAGCUUUUUUAUUGCACCUUUUAAAACUGUGUUUACAAAGUGCUUUACAGAAGAGAAAUACUCAGAAAAAAAAAAAAAAUACCCAUAUAGAAAUAAAAUCAAACAAAAUAGAACAAUAAAAUAAAUCAAGGAACAGCCCUAGUGAACAAAUGUGUUCUGAGAUGCUUUUUAAAAGUGCACAGAGUUUCAUAGUUUAGGACUGAAAUAACUAAAGGGUGACUCACCAGUUUUUUGCACAACAAACAAAUUACUAUUUGAUGUUCAGAUCGAUCUUGCUGGAGUACAUUUAGUCAACAAAUAAGAACAGGGCAGUUCCAUGAAGACAUUUAAAGGAACACUCCACUUUUUUUGAAAAUUAUGCUGGAAUGAGAGUAUAGUUCCUAGCCAUAUCGGCCUAGAAAAUCGCAACUUUUCAUUUUCCGUCGGUCUUAGUACACGAUGUAACUACAGAAGAGUCAAGUUUUAAAUAGGAAAAAUAUUGAAACUCUUUGGUCAUUUUUGAGCGAGAUGCUAACGGUCUAAUCAGAAUCAAUGAACUAUGCUAAGCUAUGCUAAAAGUGCUACCGCCAGACCUGGAGAUCGGCUGAAUGGAUUCGAAAACGGUAAAACUCAACUGUUUAACUCUAGGGGAGUUGGAAAAUGAGCCUAUUUUCAAAAAAAAGUGGAAUGUUCCUUUAAAGGCUAACUGCCACCAAUACAGUACUAAUAAAGGCAAUUCGACCCCCUAUUCUAAAGUGAAAGUUAAAUCCUCCUUAAUUAUGACACUUAUUAGUGAUAUUCAAGUUUAUUGACCAGAAAAAGCCAAUAAUUAAGGCUAAACUGCCAGUAGUAAUAAAGGAAAUUUGUAUAGGACAUGUAUGAGUCACAAAAUAAGAAUACAGAAAGGGCUUUUUUUAGAAGAAUUUUUAUGCUGGUUGAACAAGUAACAUUGUAAUUAUAAAUGAAAUUGCAAAUAAUACUAAGAUUCAUUAAACUAACAAGAAAAUGCCAUAUUAUGUUUCAUACAAAAAAUAAAAAGACACUAUCCUUUUACUCACAAAUAGUGAAGAACACAGAACAAUUAGAACAAAACAAUAGUAAUAAGACAGUUCGACAUUAGAUGUUUUUGUUCAGAACGAGUAUUUCAAACAGAAGAGUGGAAUUGGAGACCUUUAAACAAACAAGCAAAGGUUUGCUUUAAACAAGCAAACUUCAGAGAUGGAGCUUCCGCCAAGCCUUAAUCAAAGCUACGCUGCAAGGGUAGAAGCUCAUCAUUUUCUUUCAUUUCUUCAGUUUUUGCUUUGUUGAAAUAGACAUCAAUGCAUUGCACACUUUUGCAAAUUCAAUGAGCGUUUCCUUGUUAGAUGAUUUUUUAAUCUCCUGGUAAAAACCAGGAUCUGCAAUUGAAGCCGUUGAAGCAAUGGUUCCUCUAUCACCCCAUGCUGAUGGAAGGCUGUAGACAUUGUUCUAACUUUUUUGAAAGUCUUCAGCACUUCUUUGUACUGUUUGACUACUUCCUCUGGCAUUCUGGCUGGAAGAGAAAAACAGUCAAUGGACUAAAUAAACAUUUAAUAAGAAAAGGCAAUAAAACUUUCAAGACACCAAAAUGGAGUUUUUAGCUCCUUGACAAAUUCAUCUCUGACUGCUCACUGUUGAAUUAAACUGCUAAAAUCUUACAGGUGCUUCAAUAAUAUAACACAUCAUAUAAACCAUGAUGCAGUUUCUGAUGGUUAGUAUAUCACAGUUUAGUAUUUUUAUCAUCAUUGAAAUUAGGAAGGUAAGCAACAGUCUCUCACGCAGACACGGUUGGUUUCAUUUCAUUUGAAAAAAUGACAGAAAGAAGUGAGGUUUUACAACUGAGUGCUGAGAGAAAUUGAAUUCAAACGAAAAAUGAAUUAAAGUGAACUGAAGGGAACUGUCUUAACCCUAACCCUAGCUCUAUAGUAAGUCCACUUGAAUGAAACUUGAGUGAAUUCAGACACUGAGUGCGCCGGAAGGGCUGCCGAUUUCACAUAGUUUGUGCUGCUGUUUACUAAUCAUUUGUAACUUAGCAAACUAUAGUAGCAAUGAAUAUUUAUAUUGAACUCUGGCAUGAAAACUAGCAUGUGCAAACCUUAAUUAAAUGAUUUCAUGAUCAAUUAAAAAGGAAUUUAUACCUGAAUGAUAUUAUACUGGAAUGAAUGGAUUCUGUAAUAUUCUCUGUAAGAUUAUACUUCUGUAUGUUCUCUAUUUCUGUAGAGCUGGACAUUUUAAUAAUGAUCAAAUGACUUGGAUUUGAUUGAUGAAGAUCUGGCAUGAUCUUGGAUUGUUCAGUUCUUCAACGCUCAUCCUGGACUUGCUGCCGUAGCAACAGGUGAUUCUGAAUCUC